AAUGUUGUAAAAUAUAUUGUUCAUUGUUAGUUCAUAUUAGCUAAGGCAUUACCAAAUGUUAAGGAAUAAACUCUUAUAGUAAAGUGUUACUAAAUUUUCUUUUACCAUUUCCUUCACAAUGUCUAUUUAUUUCUAUGGCUAACAGAUUUUGUAACAUUUGUCUUUUUUACAGUCUUACCAUUGCUUGUAAGCUGGAUUGGGUAAGAUGGAUCAUCUUUAAAGGCACCAGGAGUUAAGGCAGAUGUGGAGGCACAACGGGUGAUACCAGACACACACCAAGCACAUUAUGUUCGGACAUUCAAUCAUGACAGGAUCCAGGUGGAUGCUGUCCAUUGAUGAAAGCGUUUGUUC